rnacentral:rRNA from 1 species
CCUACGGGUGGCAGCAGUGAGGAAUAUUGGUCAAUGGACGAGAGUCUGAACCAGCCAAGUAGCGUGAAGGAUGACUGCCCUAUGGGUUGUAAACUUCUUUUAUAUGGGAAUAAAACGUUCCACGUGUGGGAUUUUGUAUGUACCAUAUGAAUAAGGAUCGGCUAACUCCGUGCCAGCAGCCGCGGUAAUACGGAGGAUCCGAGCGUUAUCCGGAUUUAUUGGGUUUAAAGGGAGCGUAGGUGGAUUGUUAAGUCAGUUGUGAAAGUUUGCGGCUCAACCGUAAAAUUGCAGUUGAAACUGGCAGUCUUGAGUACAGUAGAGGUGGGCGGAAUUCGUGGUGUAGCGGUGAAAUGCUUAGAUAUCACGAAGAACUCCGAUUGCGAAGGCAGUUCACUGGACUGCAACUGACACUGAGGCUCGAAAGUGUGGGUAUCAAACAGGAUUAGAGACCCUUGUAGUC